AUUGAACGCUGGCGGCAUGCUUUACACAUGCAAGUCGGACGAGUGGCGGACGGGUGAGUAACGCCUGGGAACGUACCGGGUAAAGGGGGAUAACUACCCGAAAGGACAGCUAAUACCGCAUCUUAUUGGAUGGGCCCAGGUGGGGUUAGCUGGUUGGCGGGGUCAAGGCCCACCAAGGCGACGAUCAGUAGCUGGUCUGAGAGGAUGAUCCGCCACAUUGGGACUGAGACACGGGCCAGACUCCUUAGGGAGGCAGCAGGGGGGAAUCGUCCGAAAUGGACGAAAGGCUGAAGGCGCAACGCCGCGGGAGUGAUGACGGCCUUCGGGUUGGAAAGUUCUUUUAAUCGGGAAGCGGUACCGGAAUAGAAAGCCACGGCUAACUACGUGCCAGCAGCCGCGGUAAUUC
rnacentral:rRNA from 1 species